rnacentral:rRNA from 1 species
GCAAUGCCGCGUGCAGGAAGAAGGCCUUCGGGUUGUAAACUGCUUUUGUACGGAACGAAACGGUCCGGGUUAAUACCCUGGGCUAAUGACGGUACCGUAAGAAUAAGCACCGGCUAACUACGUGCCAGCAGCCGCGGUAAUACGUAGGGUGCAAGCGUUAAUCGGAAUUACUGGGCGUAAAGCGUGCGCAGGCGGUUUUGUAAGACAGGCGUGAAAUCCCCGGGCUUAACCUGGGAAUGGCGCUUGUGACUGCAAAGCUGGAGUGCGGCAGAGGGGGAUGGAAUUCCGCGUGUAGCAGUGAAAUGCGUAGAUAUGCGGAGGAACACCGAUGGCGAAGGCAAUCCCCUGGGCCUGCACUGACGCUCAUGCACGAAAGCGUGGGGAGCAAACAGGAUUAGAUACCCUGGUAGUCCACGCCCUAAACGAUGUCAACUGGUUGUUGGGUCUCUUCUGACUCAGUAACGAAGCUAACGCGUGAAGUUGACCGCCUGGGGAGUACGGCCGCAAGGUUG